GAUGCAAUGAUUAUGUACAUAUAGAAAUUACCUGGCAGGACACAUCUUCUUUCUUGUCAAGCACAACACUAGCUAUUGAAGUACAAGCUUUAUCAACGAGACACCAUGUGCCUUAAGACAUUUGUCUUAGUGAUUGCAAUAUUGCAUACAUCUUCCGUUUCAGGGGCAAAGCUCAAUGAAGCGUGUACCUCUGACAAUGAAUGCGAUGUUAGUGGGUCCUCUUGUAAGCCCAAUUCUUGUGAGGGUUUUGUGUGUAUGUGCGAUGUUGGCUUCCGUGAUAAUGAAGAUAAUACAAAAUGUACAAACGUUAGUCUUAUCGGAGGUGAAAUGCUCGUCAGACGCGAACUGUCUGCCAUACUUCUCAGAGUGCGCAUCGGGAAAAUGUGAAUGCAAGUCGGGUCGCACAGCAAAGCAAGAAAACUUUUCUUGCCUCCCUUCUGACUCCCCGGUCAAGAGAUACAAGGAAAACUGCACCACAAAUGAUGAAUGCGCAGGUUUCACAACCUGUGAUGGCGGUGUGUGCUCGUGCGCUGAUGGUCAGAUGCCAUGGACGCAAGAAGAGCGAUGGCUAUUGUUUCCACAGUCGGUACUUGUUGACUGUCGCCACCCAGAAUUAU